rnacentral:rRNA from 1 species
UACGAAGGGGGGCUAGCGUUGCUCGGAAUCACUGGGCGUAAAGCGCGUGUAGGCGGUCCGGUAAGUCCGCUGUGAAAGUCGGGGGGCUCAACCCUCGGAUGCCGGUGGAUACUGUCGGGCUAGAGUGCGGAAGAGGCGAGUGGAAUUCCCGGUGUAGCGGUGAGAUGCGCAGAUAUCGGGAGGAACACCUAUGGCGAAGGCAGCUCGCUGGGACGGUACUGACGCUGAGACGCGAAAGCGUGGGGAGCAAACAGG